ensembl:snoRNA
UGCACUGUAUGGUAUCUGCAUCCAGCAGCCUUAUUUCUGAUGGCAUGUUCAAAAAGCAGUGCGACAUUAUCUCAGCAUGUGGCAUCGUUGGUUCUCAAGCUGCUGUGCUUGCUAAACCUGGUAUUUUUGUUGAAACAAGA